AUUGAACGCUGGCGGCAGGCCUAACACAUGCAAGUCGAGCGAGAAAGGUCUUCGGACUGAGUACAGCGGCGGACGGGUGAGUAAAGCGUAGGAAUCUACCUGGUAGUGGGGGAUAACUUGGGGAAACUCAAACUAAUACCGCAUACGCCCUACGGGGAAAGCGGGGGACCUUCGGGCCUCGCGCUAUCAGAUGAGCCUGCGUAGGAUUAGCUAGUUGGUGAGGUAAAGGCUCACCAAGGCGACGAUCCUUAGCUGGUCUGAGAGGAUGAUCAGCCACACUGGGACUGAGACACGGCCCAGACUCCUACGGGAGGCAGCAGUGGGGAAUAUUGCGCAAUGGGCGAAAGCCUGACGCAGCCAUGCCGCGUGUGUGAAGAAGGCCUUAGGGUUGUAAAGCACUUUCAAUUGGGAAGAAAAGUUGGUCGUUAAUAGCGGCCAGCCCUGACAUUACCUUUAGAAGAAGGACCGGCUAACUCCGUGCCAGCAGCCGCGGUAAAGU
rnacentral:rRNA from 1 species